UUUUAAUAAAGAUUAAGUACUAAAUAGANNNCCCAACANUAGUUGAUAACANUGAACAAGUUACUGUAGGGAUAACAGCGUAAUAUAUAUCUAAAGUUCUUAUUUUGAUAUAAGUUUGCGACCUCGAUGUUGAAUUNAUAUUACUUUCAAGCGCAAGAGCCUGAAAAGUGGGUCUGUUCGACCCCUAAAUAUAUACAUGAUUUGAGUUCAAAUCGGUGUAAACCAGAUUGGUUUCUAUCUAUUNUUAUUUGUGUCUUAGUACGAAAGGACCUGAAACAAUAUUAUAUAAUNAUUUAUAUGGCAGAAAAAUGCUUUAGAUUUAGGAUCUAAUUAUAAUAGAUUAUUAUACUCUAUUUAACUUGCCUAAUCUCUGUUAUUAGAAUCCUUAUCGCAGUAGCUUUUUAUACCCUCCUAGAACGAAAAAUUCUAAGCUACAUCCAAAUUCGAAAG
rnacentral:rRNA from 1 species